GAAAUGCGAUAAGUAAUGUGAAUUGCAGAAUUCCGUGAAUCAUCGAAUCUUUGAACGCACAUUGCGCCCUCUGGUAUUCCGGGGGGCAUGCCUGUCCGAGCGUCAUUUCGAACCCCUCAAGCACGGCUUGUGUGAUGGGCCCUCCCGCGUCUUGGUCGUCAAGACGGGCCCGAAAUGCAGUGGCGGCUUCGCGGUUAUCCGAUCAGCCAGAGCGUAUGGGGACUUUCUCUCUGUCACACGCCCGCGGCGCGGACCGACGCCUGUCGACCUUUAUUCAUCUUUUUCUCGGUUGACCUCGGAUCAGGUAGGGAUACCCGCUGAACUUAAGC
rnacentral:misc_RNA from 1 species